rnacentral:lncRNA from 1 species
CAGUGAGUAGAAACAAUGAAAACAGUUCAUUAAUUACAUGCUUUCAUGAAAUGCGUCACAGCACAAACAUUUCACAUCUCGAAUUGGACAUGACCUCAAAACUCCCUCUGUCAGCGCCCGGCCCCCCCUGGGAGCUCACACAGGUCUUUCCUUACUUAACAGAUCGUGGGCUAUUGAGGUCGCCUUGGUCCAUCCACAUCAUCGAUAAAUAAUGCAAUGCAUCAUAUUCGUGACUAUUAAUGCAAUCAACCUAUUGCAUACUCAUGGUGCAU